UUGCUGAUCAAAUAUAGAAGCAGAAGAGGUCCCCCAGGUUGCGGAGAGUGAGAAAUCGCUCGGUGUUCUCAGGCACAUCUACGUGCCUGCAGGCCUGCCGCUGCCUAUGAACCUCACGAGCUCUGGAAGUCACUGACCUGGGUGAGACUAGAAUGUCUUGUCUCGGCAGAAACUCCGUCACAGGAAGCCUGUUACUAGUCCAAAGUGACAUAGUUUGAAUGAUAACCUAUAUAGUUUUCCAAUCCAAGAGUGACCCCAAAAUAUAUGAUACUAGGUUGGAAAUUUCGUCUACAGAUGGGAAGAACAAGUGAAUCUGUCAAGCACAAAGAGGAGAAGGAGUUGUUUUUUUGUACUAUGAAAACUAACAAGAAAUUGGAAACAAAGAAGAAGUAAUAUUUUCUUAUCCUAUUGUUACAAAGAGAUAUCAAGAUUUAUAUGGAACCUACGUGACGAUUACAACCAAGAUUCUGGUGACCAAAAUGGAUGAAGUCAUUCUCUCCAUAGAGUUGAUCUCUUAACCCCUGAGUGAGGCAAAUCUCCGGUUAAUAGGCCCCUCAGGAUGGUGAGAUUCUGGAUAAUCUUGGAUGCCACAUGUUGAAGAUACCAAAUGCUCUAUCAGUCUAGAGGUUAACACUUGAUCUAAACUAUUACAUUACCAAUGUUUAGGUUAUUAUAACUGGCCUAGUUGUUAACGUAGUUUGGAUGACCCUAGCUAAAUGGGAAUGUAAAAUAUUUUAAUCUGGGUUGUAUCGUAAUCAUGUUUAUAUUUUAACUAUCUUUGGCAGCAAUGAUAAGGAUGGGCGGGAAUCACUUAGAAGGCUAUUGUAAUAAUCAGAUUUGAUAAGGACCUGGACUAAGGAAGAUGGAGGAUUAUAACUGGUAAGGGAAGUUAGUUUCUUUCUUUCCUUCUCUCUGAUUUUAUUUAUUAGCGAGAGAGCAAGUGAGAGAGAAGGAAAGAGAACAUGAGCAGGGGGAGGGGUAAAGAGAGAAGCAGACUCCCUAUUAAGCAGGGAGCCUGAUGUGGGGCUUGAUUCCAGGACACUGGGAUCAUGACCUGAGCUGAAGGCAGACACUUAACCGACUGAGCCGCCCAGGCACCCUGGGAAGUGUCUUCUUUUUCCCUCCCUCUCUCCUUCCUUCCUUUCCCCUCUCUCUCCCUACUUUUCUUUCUUCUUUCUCUUCCUUUGAAAUCUGGGAGAUAGGGUGAGGUAUAUAUGUCAAAUAAAUAGGCAAUGGUAGUUAAGAUAAAUAGGAAAUUGACCCAGGACCUUUAGAAGGUAGAUCUGUAAGAACUGGAUGACACAAAGAGCUCUAGAAAGACUAUAAGUGUAUGGCUUGGGUAAGUGGUUAGAUGUUGUGUGGAGCAUUUAGAGAAGGAACAUGAUUAAGUGGAACAGUAAAUAAGUUCAAAAUGAAGCAUGUUGACUUUGAUUUGGCUCUGAACCACUGAAGAACUGAGGAAGACACAUCUAUAAGAUAAGCUGAUUUAGAAUUCAGGCAAAAGGUCUGGGCUUUUGACAACUUUGCACUGUCAUUUUUGUGUAAAACAAUAAAAACUGGGUGAAGGGAUGUCACAGGCCCUCCAGCUAGUGAUGGGAAAUAUGAUUUGCAGGUGGACAGAUGAGAAAGAGAGCAUCAGAGAGUGAGAAGGAACAGGUAGAGAAAUAGAGGGAAGAAUCACCAAAGAUGAAGAAAGAAUUUUAAAGCUCAAAAUUUUUUUCACACACAUGAAAAUAAGAUAAGGACUGAAAAUAAUUCAUUAGGUACUACAUCAAGGUGUCAUUGCCGACUUUACACAAAGCAGUUGGAAAGAUGUGGUGACCAAAGCCCAAUGGCAGUGAACUGAGCACUGGACAGAUGGAAAAGGGGCCAUGAGCACAGACAACUGUUCCAACAGCUUCUAGGAUCAUGACUACAUGGGAAUGUUGAGUCAAGAGAGAGAUUAAAUUUUUUGUUGUGAUUUGAGACCCCUUUGUCAUCAUUACACUAUGAAAGAUAAGACCAAUUCUAAAGCUAUGGAGGGAGAGAUGAUAUAUGGUGAACUGAAGUCCUAAAGACAUGGAAGCAGAGGGUUAGAUAUAUUUAAUUUGAGAGGAAGUGAUGCCCCUUCCUCUACUGAGAGGAAAGAAAGUCAAAAGAACUGAAAUUUAUGUGGACUAUGUAGCAAGACAUUCAAGGAAGACCUCCUAGAGGAAAGGUUCUCUUUUUGUGAUAGAGAAAUGAAUGAAGUGAAAAUGAAAUGAUGGUAGGAAAUAAAACUAUAAGUGACAGAGAAGACGACAAGGUAUAGAUAUGGACGCUGAAGUCAAAGUUUGGAGAAGGCUGCUGAAGGCAAUAGAAAAUCACACUGACCAAGACAUGAAGGGUUGCUGGGUUGCACCAAAAUCCCAGAUGGUGUUGGAGCCCAUGACUGCAGGGACAGCCAUCUCUACUCUCAUGUGAUUUUCUCCAGCCUUGCAGCAUAGUUGGAAUAUACCAGUAGAACGCUCAGAUGAUAGGCUCAAUUCAGAUUUGAGGCUUGCCGAGUUUUUAAAGCCUGCAGUAAACAAGGCAGCAAAAAGAAGAAGCAAUGGUGAGGGGGAUCCUAGCAAAAAUGUCUUGGAUGGAUAUGGUUCUUAAUUUUAGCCAAAAAAAACAAAAAAACAAAAAAAAUUGCUUUAGAUUGUGUUACACAUAGUGUGGAAAUAAUGUGUUGGCACACAGUGUGAAAAUUCAGUACCAGAGAGAUAAAAAUAAAAGCAUGCUUCAAUGACUGAUUUUUAGUCCUCAAAACUUUAUUUAAAAUAUAAAGGAAUUGCCAAAAAGAGAUGGAGGGGUCUGGAUUACCAGCAUAAUUUAGUGCACUCUCUUAGCUGGGCAUACAGUAAACUAUAUGUAAAGGCCUAGUAAACAGGCCCUAAACUAACAUUUAUCUGCCUAACAGCUCUUCCAAAAGAUGACGGCUAAUUCCAUCCUGAUGUGCUGGUCUGCCUUCCUAUGAAAACAGCCUAAGUUCUUGAACUUGAAAUGGUGAUAACAUAUUUUCACUUUUCACAUGUCAUGGGUUUUAUUUAGCUCCAUUUUGCUCUCAGGAGAGGACAAAAUACCAGAGGGAAUACAUAUCUGCUUGAAAAAUUUUCUCUUGGCUUUCUUAGUUAACCUACUGCUCAAAUACAAAAUCACUCCAUGUGAUUUAAAACCUUCAGAAUGCAAAACUUCAUAAUCAAAAAGAGAUUCGUGCUAAAUUUAAACUGGGAAUAUACUAAAUAGUCAAAGAGAGGUUCUGUUUUGUUCUCUUAAUAAUAAUAGAGAGUGACAUGUCUUUGCCACUAGCUACCUUUUCUGUGUUGCUUCUGAUGCCAAUAGCCACAGGGUUGUGUGUUGAUUCUAACAGAUGGUGACACAUAUUGUUAAUUAUGUUGACAUGGAUUCUCCUGACCCUACUUUGUAAGGGAUGGGAUAGGAAUGUUUCUUGUAGUUCAAGCUACAUGCAGAAGUAAAUGUUACUUAUGUUCUUACUGAGUUAAGUGAGGGUCUACUUACAUUUGUGUUGUAGCUGCUUAAUAUUUUGUGUGUUUCUAAAUGUAUUAGUGGAUGUACAUAUGUAUAUAUGUAAAUAGGUGUGUAGGCUUUGGAGCUAAAAACCUAACAUUAACAAAUUACUUAAAUUGAUAAAAAUAAUUGAACAGUUAGUAAGCUUUUCUGUGUCAGUUGCAGUAUAAAGCAAGCUAUGUAUGAUAGAUGAUAGUUCUUAAAAUAAUUCCAACAUUUCAACUUUAAUGAUGUGGAAGCUAAGACUAAGAAGUAUGGCACCUCUCACAUUCAUAGAAUGUUAGGUAUAUUAAGGCCCAGGUGACCCUAUAGUUCAGUUACAACCAAACAUUCUUCUUUACUUGUUCUCAAAAGAACUUAUAAGAUUGAUUGCAGUUAAUUAAGCAAAGAAAAUGCAUCCUAUUUCCCAAGCCGGAUAUAUUUGAAUGUCAUAAUCUAUGGUAUCAAAUAGAGAAGCUUUAUUAACAUGUGUCUACACCAAAUUAUACCAUCAAUCUUUCUUUGGGAAAAAUAGCUAUAAAUGUAAACAAUAAUUUAAAGCUAUGCUCUUUCUCAUUUUGUAAAAGCGUACUUGAUAUUUACUUAUGUGUGUCACCUAUGUUUGCCUUUUGUUUCUGAAACACAUGGUCAAAGAUUGGGAAACUGCACAUGAGAGUCUGAAGUCAACAACAGUUGACUAUUACUUUGUCAAUGCCACGGUAUGGGAAUUCUGUAGGGUAGAGUCCUAAUAUCUUCAAGAGAAAAUUACUUUCUGAAAGGGAGACUCAAGAAAUAACAAUUAAGGGACUCCUGGGUGGCUCAGUUCGUUGGACGACUGCCUUCGGCUCAUGUCAUGAUCCCGGAGUCCUGGGAUUGAGUCCUGCAUCAGGUGCCCAGCUCCAUGGGGAGUCUGCUUCUCCCUCUGACCUUCUCCUCGCUCAUGCUCUUUCUCACUGUCUCUCUCUCAAAUAAAUAAAUAAGAUUUUAAAAAAAGAGAAAUAACAAUUAAUAUAUGUAGUUUAUCAGUUUAAAAAUAUUUCACAAUAAACUAUGAUGUAUAUCUAUACUGCUGGUUAAGAUUUGCAAAUAUAGAAAAAAUAAGAUGAUAUAUGGUCCAUAUAUACUUUUGAUGGGAAUGCAUGGGAGUAUCACUGUCAGCAACAAUGUUCCACAAACAGGUAGAGAAGCAUUUUCUUAUAUGUUAAUUUUGUUGUUGAAUUUAAUAUUCUCAAAACUCCAGGUACAAGAUAUUAUUUCUUCCAUCUUAGGUGAAGAAAUUGGUAUCUAAAUAGAUUUUACUCAAGAUCACAUAGCGAUAGCAGAAUUUGACACUAAAGUUUAUGCUCAUGGCUCUAUAUCCAUGCCACCUUCUUUGGAUUAUGUAAAAGGAGCAUUGGUUAAUAAGCAUUUUUAAUUGUUGUCUUUAGUGCUGUCCAUUAAAAGUAUUCUAGUUUGCAGUUAUAUUCUUGUCACAUUAAGAGUGAAUAUAUAACAUCAUGUGUUAACUAUACAUCAAUAAAAAAAAAAAGUUUGCAUAGAUUCUGAUGAGCUUGAUGGUAUUGCUCUUUAGGUCAUCCCAGGUCCCUAUUCACAAAACAACUUUUAGAUGGUAAUUUCAUAUUCAAUCUAUACUUUCUUUACUAGAUGAGGAAUGCAUGAACCAUCUGCCUGAGUAAGAGUUGGGAUUGGCUUUACGUAACAGUGUUUUACAAUUUGGGUAAUGUGCCCCUUUAUUUUUGUCUGAUCACCUCUAUGUCUGAUGGCAGUAUAUUCUUUGAUUGUAAAGCUAAGAGCCUUCUUCUGAACUAUCAUGGCCACUAAGAGACCAUAUUCCUCUGUGAAAGCUGACCUCCAUUGGUCCUUCCACAUUUAACUUCUUUCUCAACUCAAUAGUUUAUACAAAUAAUUAUUGAAUAUGGUCAUUCAUUUUUGUUAGUCAAAAAUUAAAGGUAUGUAAGGGAGAAAGAGUAUGAAGAGUUAUGCUUGAUCAGAAAAGCAAAAAUCAAACUAUGCAAGUCCUGGGUCUCUUCAGAGUCAAUUAUUUUAAUCAUCAGCUCUUCCAAACUGGAAUUUUGCACAACACCCUGAGAAGUUCUUUCAGUGAUAACAUAUGUAAAUGUGUUAUUAUAGGAAGUAAGCCUCCUUUAGAAAGGGUAAUUUAAGUUCUUAUUGAAAAUUGACAAAUUCCAUUGGAAUAUUGAACACUAAUAUAAAACAGAGAAGCAUAGGGAAAGGAAGGAGAAAAAUAAAACAAGAUGAAACCAGAGAGGGAGACAAAUCACAAGAGACUCUUAGUUAUAGGAAGCAAAUUGAGGGUUGUUGGAAAGGAAGAGGUGAGGGGUAACUGGGUGACAGGCAUUAAGGAGGGUAUGUGAUAUAAUGAGCACUGAGUGUUAUGUACAACUGAUAAAUCACUGAACUCUACCUCUGAAACUAAUAAUAUACUAUAUGUUAAUUAAUUGAAUUUAAAUUAAAAAAAAACACUUUUGUUAUCAAAAUGCCAGUUCCUCUGGUAGACAAAAAUAUUCCCCAGUGAAAAUAAAGCUCAGAAUGACAUUGAAGAGAAUUUUUCUUAAAUGAGGCCAAUGAUGUGUAGCAUUGGCUUACUUUUCAUUCUCCAAUUAUAAAUAAAUUGUGAUAAUUUACAUGUAUUUUUUCCUGAUACUGAAAAGAAAAAUAAUUGAGUUGAAUAUGCUUGUCCAUUUUAAUUUCAAAUGAUAUAAUAGAGGGCAAAUUAGAUUAAGAUUAAAAUUAGAUUAUCCCUAAAAUGUACUGUCAGAUUGUUUUUGCGGUGAUCCUCCUUAUUCCCUCUAUUCCCUUAAAACCAAACUAAACUACUGGGCAGGAGUAGCAGUGACAUACAGUGGUAAAGAGCCCACAAUUCUUGUUGUUGUCUUGGUCAGGUUGCUUUCAACAUCUUUAUGCCUUAGUUUCCUUAUAUGUCAGUAGGAAUAAUACUAGAGAUGUGUGAUUUUUAUAUAAAUAAAUCUUGUGGACUCU